rnacentral:tRNA from 1 species
AAGAAAAUGACAGAGCGGCUAUGUGGUUGGCUUGAAACCAGCAUACGGGGGUUCAACUCCUCCUUUUCUGG